rnacentral:rRNA from 1 species
GACAGAGGGUGCAAGCGUUGUUCGAAAUUACUGGGCGUAAAGGGCACGUAGGCGGCGAAGUGUGUCUGAUGUGAAAGACCUUGGCCUAACCAAGGAAGUGCAUUGGAAACUACUUUGCUAGAGUAUGAGAGAGGAUGGCGGAAUUCCCAGAGUAGAGGUGAAAUUCGUAGAUACUGGGAGGAACACCUGAGGCGAAGGCGGCCAUCUGGAUCAUAACUGACGCUGAGGUGCGAAAGCAUGGGUAGCAAACAGG